UAUUCUCUAUAAAACUAACACCUACCUAAGAAAAGAGGGGGACACGAAAAAAGAGCACAACUUUUCAUCCUCACCAUUGUGAAACCACAUUUUUCCUUUCUCAAACCAAUUCCUCCAUGAAAGCUCACCAAAAAAACAAACAUCACCAAUUCAUAGCUGAUUAAAAUCAUCAAAACCCAGUAAUACCAUCAUGUACAAAGCUUAGUAAUCACCGUAUCUAGUAACUGCCUUUCCACCGUGCGAAUCACCAAAAUACCACAAUAUAUUCUGUUUCUCUUAAUCUUUUCAAAAAUAGUGCAAACGUUCUAGGUUAGAGAUUUUCAUGUGGUGCAAGAAUAAAGAUUGAUGAAAUUAGGUACAAUAACAAAGUGGAAAAUCAGACACGUAUGCUACACAUGAAUUGGAAAAGAAAAAAAGGCACAAUCAAAGUUAAAGGGAAAAUAGAAAUAAUUGAGGGAAUCUUCAGUGACUUUAAGGUCUUGGUUGCUUAGAUCUAGUAGCGAGGCUGUCUUUUCCGAGGUUGGAGAUUUCCGGCGAGGUUGCCGGCGAGUCCUCUGUUCUCUUGGUCGAGUUGUUCUUGUUGAAUUCCCACCCUUGUAUUCAAGAAGUGUUUCUGAUAUAAAAGGUCCAUUCCAUCUCACCUUUUGUCAAUUGCUAUCUUAUUUGGUGUUGGAAUGAUAUAUUUAGCCAAAUUCCUUGUUUGUGAUAUUCUGUUCAUAAUUGAAAUUGCUCAUAGUUGGCUGGAGCUAACUCACUACUUGAUGUAAUUAGGAUAAAAUGCUAGUUUGUUUACAUUCUUAUUUUAAUUUUAUGUUUGCAUUGUUUUGAAAAUGAUGUAAUUGUUAUCAAGAAGAUCAUUAACGUGUUUUCUAAUAGAAUUGAUUCGUUGAGAACACUAAGAGAAUUGAAGCUUUUGCGGCACAUUAGGCAUGAGAAUAUGAUUUCUUUGGUGGAUGUGAUGAUGCCUAUUCAUAGAAGCAGUUUCAAGGAUAUUUAUUUGGUUUAUGAGUUGAUGGAUACAUAUCUUAAUCAUAUCAUUAAGUCGUCGCAACCUUUAUGUUGGCAUUGCUUUGAAAAUGGAAUAGAAGAUACAGGAAAUUAAUUUGAACAAAUAGUCCAAAUGUUUAAAACCAUCGCCCAUACAAAUGAAUUCAUUAGUGGGCCCGUCUUUAAAUAAGCACUAAGUCAUAAUAUCUUCACUUACAAAUGACUUCCAUAAAUUAUGACCUUCACAAUAAUUUCAAACUAGUUUUAGGAAAUAAUUUGAACAUCGUAGCUUGCUUUAGGUGCGAUUAAUAAAUCAUCGUGUCUAUGGGUACGGUUCCCUGGCAUGGUCACGAUACGUAAUCCCCAAUUCGGGUGUGCAUUUCAUGCGACUCGAUCGUAACAACUUUAAUUAAUAAUAAAAUACACAUGUCGUGAAUCGCGGGUGCAUUUCAUGUAGUGUGGUUCGCGGCGUGUUCCAAAACAAACAAGUGUACGACAAUCGUAACUUGUUCAAGAAAUAGUUUCAUAAAUCCUAAAAAACGAUCAAAUAAUUAAAAGUGGUUAUAAAGUUAAAAAUUCACAAUUGGCUUAAAACAUGUAGUAAAUUAGAAAAUAGGCCAAUAUUUAAUAGUAUAAGCGACCGUGCUAGAACCACGGAAUCCUGGAAUGCCUAACACCUUCUCCCGGGUUAACAGAAUUCCUUACCCGGAUUUCUGUAUUCGCAGACAGUAAAUAGACUCAAUCUUCCUCGAUUCAAGAUUUUAAACCGGUGACUUGAGACACAAUAAAUUAUCCCAAGUGGAGACUCUAAAUUUUAAAUAAAAUAAUCCCGUUUCAAUUGUCACUUAAAUUGGAAAAAACUCCCUUAUACCCCUCGAGUGGUAAAAAGGGAGGUGUGAUAGCUCUGACGACUCUGCUGGGGAUAAGAACCCAGAAUCCCUGGUUCAGGGUUCAAGAAUUCGAUCUUAGAAUAAUUGUUAUACUUGGCUUUAUUUAUUAUCUGGUUUUAUUACAUGUUUGGGCCUAAUGUUCUAAAUUCCACUUUUUACCGCUUUGAUAUUAUCUGAACUGUAUAUAAACUUCUACGAAACCCUUCUCUUCUCAUCUUUGGGGAUGUGCACACUGGCGUGACUCCUCUUCUGUUAGUGUCAUACCUUAAAUUAGGAAGAGGCUCGGACAAGUUACAAAGGCAGAUGGCCUUUUGGUUCCCGGUACGUAGCCCUCCCGGCUUGAGUUGUCCGCUCGGGUACACAAGUCUAGAACAACAUACCCAGGUUUUGAACUAACUCAGCCUCAUGCCGGAUCCCUAGUAGGAACGCUUGUUUGCAUCAUGUGCAUUUGACUUUGGUGAUCCAAAAUAGGGGUUGGGUCCGUCUAGGAUAGGUGUACCCAAAUUAAAAGACCAUCCUGAUGCAUCUUACGUGCUACUUGCGUAUCUGUCUGUUUCGGCUUACAUGUUGAUUGGCUUUUAGAAUAGGAAAAGAAAUGAAAAAAAGAGAAAAAAAGAAAAUAAAAAAAAAAGAGAAAGAAGAAAAAGAAAAAAGAGUGAGAGGUAGGUAUUUGAAAUAUCCUGAAACUCUGCCGAAUUUUUUUUUAAAUAAAGAAAAAAAAAAGUCAUUUCAAAAUAAGUCAUGUUUUCCUGUUGCGUCAAAACUGGCGAACGACGCGGGUCUGAUUCUCACCGGAUGUGAGAUACGUAGGCAAACCUCAUCGGUUCCGGCCCACAAUUUUCAAAAGUCCAAAAAUAUUUUCCUUUACGUCCUUCUUUAGAAAAGUCUUUAUUUUAGACCCCAAUUUUUUAAAAAAAAAAUCCAAAAAUAUUUUUCUUUACUUCCUUCUUUAGAAAAGUCUUUAUUUUAGACCACAAUUUUCAAAAAUCCAAAAAUAUUUUCCUUUACUUCCUUCUUUAGAAAAGUCUUUCUUCGAGCCCACAAUUUUCAAAAAAUCCAAAAACAUUUUCAUUUUUCUUUAGAAGUUCACCUUUCAAAAAUUGGAAAGAAAAAUUCAAGAUUCAAAAAUAAUUUCUUUUCACUUUAGAAGUCUUUCCUUGAAUUCAAAAUAAAAGUUACAAAAAAUCCAAAAAUAUUUUCUUUCUUAUUUAGAAGUCUUUCUUUUAAAAAAUUCUAAAAAAAAAACAAAAAAAUUGAAAUCCAAAAAUAUUUUCUUUCUUCUUUAUGUGUUUCUCUCAGAAAUAAAAAAAAUCAAAAUCUAAGAAAAAAGUUAGUUUAUUCACUUUAUUCCUGAUCUUCCUGAACUACGCAAGAUCUGAUUCAUGUUCCCACAUGAUACGUAGGCAACCCAUAUCAGGUUCGAUCGAAUGGUCCAAAAAACAUGGAAAAAAAAAGAUAAAAACAGAAAAGAGAAAAAAAAAAAAGGAAGAGAGUGUUUAUUCUAACAUGCUUAUUGUUUUGAAAUAAAAGCUAGUCAAAGGUGGUCGGAUUGUUGAUUUGCAAUGGCGAGUCACAAAAACAAUCCAAGAAUCCUCAGAAAUAAAAGCAUCUUCUCAACCAAUGGAACAAGCACCACUGUUGUUGACCCAAAGUCACGAAAAGGCAAGUAGGCAAGUUAGCAGUGAAAAAUCAAAGAUGGAGGCAAAUGUGGGGUUGACUUUACCAUAUUUGAGCAAUAGAACAUAGGCUGCUCGAGAUGAUUGUCAAAAUUUGAGUAUUGAAUCCAAAGCAAUCAAAAUGGCCAAAUGACGUAGUAACGCUGAUGUGUGAAUGUGUGGCUAAAAUGUCGCUUAGUAACUGGAAAGUCACUCCUCCUUUAGCCAUGGUAGCUUAUUUUUCGUCUUUUCUUCUUCUUUUGUGUUAUCGGACCCUGCUAUCCUUUAUUCAAUAAAAAACAGUCAGUCAUUUUGUGUCCAUUUUGUGCAUAGUUCUUUUCACGCUAGUUUUAGUAACAUGACAUGCAUGCAAAAUUUUUGGUCAAAUCUUAGAAAACUGAUUUAGUCUUGAAUUGGAUAAGUGAGAAAGAGACACUUUUGAAGAAAAAUAGACACGUGAAACAUUUGAAAAAUAACCAUGAGCUAAGUUUACAUGGAACUAAAGCAGUCAUGCUUAUGGAAGUUAAGGAUCUCUACCUUUUGAAUCGUUUGAGAAGAUGAGGCUUAAGGAUAAUCGGACAGGUUGAAUUCUGUUUAAAACUAAGAGAUAGAAAGUGUUUUUCAAUAGAAGGUGUAUUUCAGACAACUUGAAAUGGAUCAGUUAGUGGCAAAAUGCAUCUUCUACAUCAAGAUAAAAUCCAAGAAAAGUCACCCAAAUUGACAAGGGUCAUUUACAUCGAGGAAAGUAUUGCUCAUACAGCUUUUCACUAAAAAAGACCCAAGAAGACAGGCAUGUUCAUCAAUGAUGUGAUUGCGAAAGGAUACUAUAAUUGGCGUUCUCGAGGAUGGGAGGCCAUUUUUCUGCUAUCCAAACACUUUAUACCCUUCGUUACCCCUUUUGAGCCCGUGUUAUUUUCUUUGACCACCCUAUUUUGGAAUCAAGUUUAGAGUCAAGAGUUAAAAAAAUUGAAAAAAAAGAAAAAGAAAAUAAAAGUGCAUGUCCCAAGAGUACAAACUGGGGCAAUUCUUAGAAAGUUCAAGUGAAAUAAAUAAUGAAGAAGAAAAGAAUUGUCAAAGGUCCAUGCCCUCAAAAAAUAGAAGCUGGGGCAACUUGUUUUGAAAAUAAAAAGAAAAAAAAAGAUAGAAAAAAACAGAAAGAAAGAUGAAAAAAAAUAGUUAGGUCAGAUGUUUGAACUACGUUCGACCUGAUUCUUUAAAAAAUGAUACGUAGGAAGCCUCACGGUUCGGUCCAACGAAAUAAAAGUCGCAAAAAAAAUUCCAAAAAGAAAAAUUCCCUAGUAUCUGAAACUGGGACAGAGAUUUUAUUUCACUUUUGAAAGAGUCGAGUCCAAGAGUUGUAAGUCCACAACCCUUCAUUUUGAGUCUAUUUUGAGCCUUCAUGACGUCCUUUCUUCCCAACCCUAUCCAAAUUUCUUCCAAAUAAAGACUUCCCAAUAUGCCUUCAAGAAUGCCAAGAGAAACAUGCAAUGAGCAAUGGUUGUCACACGACAUAGAACAUAUUCAAGUUGCUCACAAAAGAAAAUCAGAAAAAAAAGGAAAGAAAAAAAUAAAAAAAAUGAGAGAGUCUUACUAGUGAAAAUCUUCACGGGCACUGCAAGGCGACGGUAAGCAGAGAUAAAUAAAUGAGAGAGGCUUAUAGGUGAAAUCCCUCGGAGCACCACUAGUCGAAAGUGAGUCGCGAAGCUGAUGCAAAGAAGUGGCACGAACAAGUCCGACUUCAAAAUCAUAAGAGUGGUAAAAAGGAAGAUUUGGUUAGUUUGAUAGAUCGGUCACUAAGUCCAAAAUGCAUGUCAUGAUUAUAAGGCUAGUUAUUAAAAAAAAAGAAAAAGUAAAAAAAACUCUUCCUUUUGUCCUUCCGACAUGGGCAUUUCUUGUUAAUACUUGUUUCUUUGUAUUAUUGUGUCUUUCACUCCAAGUCAGUCCUUGUCAAAACAAUCAAGAAAAGAUUUCAAAAUCUGCUAUCAGCUUUUCAGUUGCAUAAAAUAAAUUUGGCCAGCACACUCAGUUGUUACUAUCAACGUGCCUUGAGGAUUCAUGCAAAGGCUCAUCCAAAAGACUCUUGUCAACCUACUUGGCGCAAGCAAAGAUAACUGCUGAUUCUCUCUGACAGACAAAUUGCUCAAAAGCAGGAAGUCAUUCAAGAUAUCAGAAAUGGUCACCUAAGCAAAGAUCUCCAGUUGGGAUAAGGCUGUUUGAGCUACAAAUACAAAUGGUACUGGGUGUGAAACAAUCAGAGUUGGUACAAAACAAAAGUCUCUUGAGACCGACUCAGGUUGAUCGAGCAAAAGCCAAUCUGCUCAUGACUCAAGGCCACAAACCGACCACCACCUUUUAAAACUGACAAAGUUUUCUUUGUUUGAAACAGGAACAAAGCAGUGCAAGGAAAGUGGUUCGAAAAAAUAAAAAUAAAAAUAAAAGAGAAAAAGAAAAAGAAAAAAAAGAAGAAAAGAAAGAAAAAGAAAGGAAGAGAAGAGCCGACAAAGGGAAGUUUCUCAAAUCUUUGCCUUUAUUUGUCUUGCUAUUGUGCAUAAAAUUUUGUCGUUGAUCUUCACAUUUUUCUUCCUAGGAUAAAAAGUCCUAGUCUGAUGGAUUUUGCUCUCAGUAGAAAUCUUAGUCUGAUGAAUCUUUCUCCUAAAAAAAUCUUAGUCCGAUAAAUUUUCUCCUAGGAUAGAAAUCUUAGUCCGAUGAACUUUCUCCUAAGAUAAGCAAACCUAGUCUGACGAAUCUUUCUCCUAGGAUAAACGUCUUAGUCUGAUGAAUUUUUCUCCUAAGAUAGAAUGCCUAGUCUGAUGAACCUUUUCCUAGGAUCAAAUCUUAGUCUGAUGAAUCUUUCUCCAAAUAUAAGGAACCCUAGUCUCAUGAACUUUCUCCUAGGAUAGAAAUCUUAGUCUGAUGAAUUUUUCUCCUAAGAUAGAAGACCUAGUCUGAUGAAUUUUCUCCUAGGAUGAAAAGACCUAGUAUGAUGAAUCUUUCUCCUAAGAUAACAAAAAAUGGGGACCUAGUCUGAUGAAUUUUCUUCUAGGAUCAAAAUCUUAGUAUGAUGAAUCUUUCUCCUAAGAUAGAAAACCUAGUCCGAUGAAUUUUUUCCUAGUAUAAUAAUUUUAAAAAAAGGGAAAGUCUGAAUUUGAAAAAAGAGGGUUUAAUUUUUAGAUUUCUUGAAAUCAGGGGUCCCACCUGGAGAAUAGGGGCAGUUUUUACUUUAGUGAUGCUUAGUUUAUAGUUUUGCACAAGUUCAAUCACGCAUAGGAAAUGCACAUCCUAGUCUAAUAUUUAGUUUACUCUCAUCAUUGCAUCAAUAGUAUAAGUGAUUUACAAUAUUGCUAACAACUCACAAAUCUUCCUAGUGCAAACUGGGGCAGAAAAGUUUCUUUUGUUUUGUCUAUUUUGCCGUGGUAUCAGGCGCCCACCUGGAGAACAAGGGAAGACAGUUCGAGUUUCAAGGGAAAGCAGUUUCAAAGAAAGAUGGUUCAAGUUUCAAGCGAAAAUGGUUCAAGGUGCAAGGGAAAACAGUUUCAAGUAACAAGAGAAGACGGUUCAAGUUCAGCAAUCAGGCGCCCACCUGGAAAACAAGGGAAUUCCAUUCAGAACGCAAUUCAGGUCAGCAACAAAAGAAUCUCGCAUCAAGAAUGCGAGUCAGCAGUCCGAGAUGAUCAACAUAAGAAGUCUCAAUCAAGAACAAAAGGAAAAAAAUGAAUCCAAAGUGCAAAAGCGGAGAAAAGAUGUGGACUGCUCAAGACAUAAUUGAAGUCACAAGCUCUGCGUGUCCCAUUUUGAUCUAAAAAAGCUGAAGAAGAUUGAAUCAACACCUGCAACUAAUAAGCAUUAAGAUUCAGAUCAGAGUCCGCAUAAAGAACCAACCAAGACUCAAGAUCAAUCUUCAGAAGACUCAUCAAAAGGAAUCUUGUAACUCAUAGCUGAUAGGCUUAGUUAGUCUUUUUAAUUUUGAUUUUGCUGUAAUAACGGGACCGCAGACCGGAACCUCGACGGCACCUCAAUCGGCUCUCCACCUCGGUAUACUCCAUCACUCUUCCUAAUUUUAAACUACAUGUGGCCUGAUUCUUUUAUAGCCAAGGAUAUGUAGGCAGCUCAGAUACCAGGGUUCGGUCACAUUCUCCUUUCUUUUAGUUUUUGGUCUCUCCAAAUAAGGGUCAGGUCAAAAAACCUAUCUCGUCAAUCUUUGUCUGAAAACUGUUCGCGUUUGCAGUCAAAGAGGGGCAGUUGUAGACAUGUGAUUUUUGACCCUCCCCAAGAUUUUACACAUGUUUAGCAUAAAAUAAUUAAUUUAGGUUUAAUAUCGUUAUUUUAAAUAGUUUUGACUCUUUUACUUUAGUUUAUCACAAAAAAUAAAAUAAAUAUGUUCAUCUUUAGGUUAAAGUCAAUUAGUAUAUUUAUAUUUAUAGUAUUAUAACAUUUGAAUAUACAAAAAAAAAAUUAGUUUCACUCAUAGUAUUUAGUUUUAUAUUAGUUUAUUUUAAUUUAGAGUAAUCUUUACAUCUUUAUAGAUACAUUGUAUUAUUUGGUCUUCUUAGCCUAAAUUUAUAUCCAAAAAAGGCAUAGUCCAACCCAAUUUCCUAGAUCCAAGCCCAUACUCAUUCCUUAUUUAAGCUAACCUAAUUUCUACCCUCUAUAAAACUAACACCUAGCUAAGAAAAGAGCGGGGCCAUGAAAAAAGUGCGCAGCUUUUCAUCCUCACCAUUGUGAACCACAUUUUUCCUUUCUCAAACUAAUUCCUCCAUGAAAUCUCACCAAAAAAACAAACAUCACCUAUUCAUAGCUGAUUAAAAUCAUCAAAACCCAAUAAUACCAUCAUGUACAAAGCUUAGUAAUCACCGUGUCUAGUAACUGCCUUUCCACCGUGCGAAUCACCAAAAUACCACAAUAUAUUAUGUUCCUCUUAAUCUUUUUAAAAACAGAGCAAAUAUUCUAGGCUAGAGCUUUUCAUGUGGUGCAAGAAUAAAGAUUGAUGAAAUUAGGUACAAUAACAAAGUGAAAAAUCAGACGCGUAUGCUACACAUGAAUUGGAAAAGGAAAAAGGCACAAUCAAAGUUAAAGGGAAAAUAGAAAUAAUUGAGGGAAUCUUCAAUGACUUUAAGGUCUUGGUUGCUUAGAUCUAGUAGCGAGGAUGUCUGUUCCGAGGUUGGAUAUUUCCGGCGAGGUUGCUGGCGAGUCCUCUGUUCUCUUGGUCGAGUUGUUCUUGUUGAAUUCCCACCCUUGUAUUCAAGAAGUGUUUCUGAUAUAAAAGGUCCGUUCCAUCUCACCUUUUGUCAAUUGCUAUCUUAUUUGGUGUUGGAAUGAUAUAUUUAGCCAAAUUCCUUGUUUGUGAUAUUCUGUUCAUAAUUGAAAUUGCUCAUAGUUGGNNNNNNNNNNNNNNNNNNNNNNNNNGGAUGUGAUGAUGCCUAUUCAUAGAAGCAGUUUCAAGGAUAUUUAUUUGGUUUAUGAGUUGAUGGAUACAGAUCUUAAUCAUAUCAUUAAGUCGUCGCAACCUUUUUGUUGGCAUUGCUUUGAAAAUGUAAUAGAAGAUACAGCAAAUUAAUGUGAACAAAUAGUCCAAAUGUUUAAAACCAUCGACCAUACAAAUGAAUUUAUUAGUGGGCCCGUCUUUAAAUAAGCACUAAGUCAUAAUAUCUUCACUUACAAAUGACUUCCAUAAAUUAUGACCUUCACAAUAAUUUCAAACUAGUUUUAGGAAAUAAUUUGAACAUUGUAGCUUGCUUUAGGCGCGAUUAAUAAAUCAUCGUGUCUAUGGGUACGGUUCCCUGGCAUGGUCACGAUACGUAAUCCCCAAUUCGGGUGUGCAUUUCAUGCGACUCAAACGUAACAACUUUGAAUAAUAAUAAAAUACAGAUGUCGUGAAUCGCGGGUGCAUUUCAUGCAGCAUGGUUCGCGGCGUGUUCCAAAACAAACAAGUGUACGACAAUCGUAACUUGUUCAAGAAAUAAUUUUAUAAAUCCUAAAAAACGAUCAAAUGAUUAAAAGCGGUUAUAAAGUUAAAAUUUACAAUUGGCUAAAAACAUGUAGUAAAUUAGAUAAUAGGCCAAUAUUAAUAGUUUAAGCGACCGUGCUAGAACCACGGAACCCCGGAAUGCCUAACACCUUCUCGCGGGGUUAACAGAAUUCCUUACCCAAAUUUUUGUGUUCGCAGACAGUAAAUAGACUCAAUCUUCCUCGAUUCCGGAUUUUAAACCGGUGACUUGGGACACCAUAAAUUAUCCCAAGUGGCGACUAUAAAUUUUAAAUAAAAUAAUCCCGUUUCGAUUGUCAGUUAAAUUGGAAAAAACUCCCUUAUACCCCUCGGGUGGUAAAAAAGGAGGUGUGACACUAGGUAAACCUAACAAUUUGCGCAAUAACAUAAAUGAAAAUAGAAUUUAACAGCUAGACUGCAACAGAUAACUAUAUAAUGAUAAAAUGUCGCUCGGCAUGUACAAGUAAACCAGCACUCGAGUAUACACAAUAUUUCCAAAACCCGGUAAUCAUAAGUCACAAACUCUAAUAAUUUUUCUAACUGUUUCUAUACAUCAAUAACUAGAAGAAAUAAAGGAGGAACAACAUAAAAGGGAUAGAGGGGGACUCGGAGGUCUACGGAGGCAGGUAGAUAUACCUUGAAGUGUCUUGAGCAGCAGCUAUGCGACUAAUAGCGGGACUGGUAGGAGGUACCGGGACCUACACACAAAACAUGUGCAUAAGAGUAGAAUGAAUACACCAUAAUGGUACCAGUAAGUGACAAGCCUAACCUUAGUAGAGUAGUGACGAGGUCAGGUCAGGACCCCAAUGGUAUAUAAUAAGCAAGACAGAAGAUAUAAUAAUGUAAAUAGGCUGAGAAUCUAACAAGGAGAAUUACCAAAAAUAACAACACAAUACAUAGAGAUAAAUAAUAGGGGCGCUCCCGAGAUACCGUUUCGUAGUCCCAAAAGUAAAUGAUAAACAGGGGAUCUCUCGAGAUACCGUCUCGUAGUCCCAAAAGUAAAUAUACAUGGAGAUCUCCUAAGAUGCCGCCUCGUAGUCUCAAAAGUAAAUGUGCAGGAGGAUAUCCCUAGGUACCGCCUCAUAGUCCAAAAGUAAAUGUGCAGGAGGAUCUCCCGAGGUACCUCCUCGUAGUCCCAAAGGUAAACACACAGCUCGAAACAUAUGAAAACAACAUUUAACAAUAAGAACUCUACAAUUUAAGACUGAUACGAAUCAAGGAAUAAUAGGAAUUCAACUAAGCAUGCCGCAUAGAUUUCAAAUAAGCAUUUAAGACAUGUAGGCAUACGAUACUAGGCUAAACAGGAUAACAACACAUGCGGGUAUAACUCAAUGAAGAUGUAACAUGUUACUACUCAGUGAAACCCGAAUUUUUCAACAAUUAGCCUGUGUACGCAUUCUUCACCUUGCAUACACAUCACUCGCAUAUCACAGAAAUAUCACAACAGUACCAAACACUAAGGGGAUUUUCCCCACACAAGGUUAGGCAAGCCACUUACCUUGCACCAAGCUAAUCAAUUAGUAAAAAUGCCUUUUCUGCAAUUUUUCGACUCCGAGUGGCCCAAAUCUAGCCAAAAACAAUCACAUACCUUAAAUAUAACUAUAAGAAACUAAUCUAAUUAAUGAAAUUAAGUUAUUAUCAAGAAAUUAGAAAUUCACCCCAAAAUGUAAACCCGAGCUCACGUCUCAGAAUCGAGUAAAAGUAAAAAAACGAACACCCAUUCAGCCACAAGUUCACUCGUACCAAAAUUACUCAAAUCUGAUCUCAAAAUCUCAAACAAAACCCAAAAAUUUGGUUGAAGAACUUUCAAACUUUUUCUCCAAUUUUCUCAACCCAAAUCCUUAAUUAAAUGAUAAAAUUAACUAUAGGUUAUGGAAUAUAACCAUAAAUGAGUUAAGAAUCAAUACCAUAUCGCUUCAUCUAAAAAUCCCUUAAAUUAUCGCCUAAAUCUGAGCUCUCAAGUCCCAAAGUGAAAAUGAGAUCAAACCCUCAUAAUUUCCCCCUUUCUGCCCUGUGAUCUCGCACAUGCGGACCCCCAGUCGCACCUGCAAUGCCGCACUUGCCGAAUUUCCAUUGCAGGUGCGGAAUUGACUUAAGACACCUGGGUCUGCUUCUGCGAUCAAGUAGCCACACCUACGCACUUGCGGAUAAUUGUCCGCUUAUGCGAAAUCCUUACCCAGCUCGACUCCCGCAUCUGCGAUCACUUCUCCGCAGGAGCGGCUCCACUUCUGCGGUCCUUUUGUCGUACCUACGACCACUGGCUAUCCAUAAUAGGGCCACAUCUGCGGUCAACGUCACCGCAGGUGUGAUGACACUAGAAGUUGAAAAACUUCAGCAAUUCUCACAAGUCUAAAAUUUAUCCGAAAAUAAUUUGAAACACACCCGAGUCCCCCGGGACCUCAAUCAAAUAUAUAAACAAGUCCUAAACACCAUACGAACUUAACCAAGCCCUCAAAUCACAUCAAACAAUAACAAAAAAAUGAAUCACACUCCAAUUCAAACUUAUUGAACUUGAAAUUUCAAACUUCUACAACCGAUACCGAAACCUAUCAAAACAUGUACGAUUGACCUCAAAUAUUGAACAAAAGUCAUAUUCGACAUUACUGACCUACUCUAGCUUUCAGAAUCAGAAUCCGACCUCGAUAUCAAAAAUUCCACUCACGGUCUAACUUCCUAAAAAUUUAACUUUUGCCAUUUCAAGCCUAAUUCAGUUACUGACCUCGAAAUCACAAUCCGAACACGCUCUUAAAUCCAAAAUCACCCAACGAAGCUAACAUAACUGAUAAAACUCCAUUCUGGAGUCAUCUUCAUAUAUUUCCAACUACGGUCAAAAUCCUAGAACUUAAGCUUCCGUUUUAGAGACUAAGUGUCUCAAAUCACUCCGAAACCAAAACAAAACUUUCUGAAAAGUUACAUAAGUAGAAAAAGAUACGGGAAAAACAAUAAUUAAGGGAUCGGAACUAAUACUCUCAAAAUGACCGACCGGAUCAUUCCAUUAGGGCCCUAAUCCUGGUUAAUUUGUUCAUCAUUUUCUCACAUAAGUCUACCAUCAUCUGCCUUCCCUUUGUAUCAAAUUUUGUGACAUGAACAUCCAACAUUGAUAGAAUCCAAGUGUCAUCUCGGAUAUAAGCAUAAUAAAUUAAUAAUCAUGAUUAAUUGCACCUCAAGAGAUAUAACUAUCCGGAGAAGAAAAAAAUGCCUAUUAGAGAGUGUUUUUCUCUUAAAUGGGUGUUAUACAAUGCAAAUCUUAACGGGUUUAAAUGAUUUCUCUUCUAUGGAGCUGUAGUUGUUUUACCCAUUCAGUGGGUUCACUUAACACCAUCAAUUCCUAUUACUUCAUUAACACUAUCAGAUCCUAUUACUUCACUACUUCAUAAACAAGAAAAAAUAUUUGCUCUCUGACUCAAACAACUGUGACUAUCUCUAAACAAUCUAUGUUAUGUUUUUAAGCUAUUUGUCACAUGAUCCUAUUUUCUGCGUUUGUAUUUCCUUUUUAUCAUGUCAAAAGAAAACUUUAAACCGCAAAUCUUUGCAUAAUAGUUGGGUUAUAUAAGUCGUAAAAUUGCAAUAUAUAAGAUGCAAUUUGUAAUUGCGAUAUAUACAUCGAAAUUGAAAAUUGCGAUAUAUGCAUUUAUAUUGCGAAGUAUAAAUCGCAUUUACCAAUUGCAAUUUAUAUAUUGUAUUUACUAAUUCUUUAUAAGUGCCAUUUGCCAAUGUAAAUGCCUAUAUUUUGACCAUAUUUUUCUAUUUGAUUUUGUGUUAUUAGUUUGAAAUAUAAUAAUAGAAUGGUAAAGAAUUGGGCCAAUUAGUUUUUGUUUUAUCAGUUGGGCCUAAAUCAUGCCAAAUCAAAGGUCCAAUCCGUUUGAACUGUCCCAGCCUAGGCUUGUCUGAUGGAGCAUUCAAGCAACAUAGUUUCAAGGCAAAACUACGUCGUUUUAUUUACUGAAUCAGAUAUUAAAUCUCACCAGUCCAUGCCCUGAUGAUCCAACGACUGAAGAUCAAUCCCCCACUCAGGUAUUUAAACCCCUAAAUACCAAAAUAUUUGCUCUAUUUUCCCUAUUUCCUUUCUUUCUCUCCUCUGUCCUCACUCUCUUAAACUCCCCGCGUCUCCACUACCCCUCACGGUGGCUCUGCUGGCCGAAAAUCGCCACCACCGGCCGGUCUUCAUCCAAACCCCAUAAAACCUUACAACAAUCUCUUUCUCUUUUUACCCUCUCUCCUAAUUCGAGCCCCAAAUCUUCAAAAAUCCCUCUAAAUUCUGUGAAAUCAAAACCUUAGAUAGCCGCCAUUUAUUUUCCUCUUCAAUUUCACGAAGAACCAGUGACUACACCCCCCACAAAAACUACAUGAACAUGUAGAUCUCAAUGAGAUCUACACUUUCCUUUUAACUUCAUCCCAAAAACACCACCGCCGCCGAUCCAACUAGCCCACUAUCCAAGCCACCCUUACCAUUGACAAGCCUCAAUGUUUAUAAUAUUUUUGACCCAUGGACACCCAUUUCCUUUAGGUAUGAAUCUGAAUUUAUUGAAUUUAGCGUCUGCCAAAAUGAAACGUGUGCUUCAAGGUCAGACAGCCACGUUUUGAUGACCCCGACAUCUCUUCGUUGCUCGAUUUGGCAUCGACUUUCCCUCAUAUGGUAAAACCCUACCUCCCUUUCUUUUUAUUUUUCUUUCUUUCCUUUUCUGUUUUUGUUUUUGCUAUUUAGAUUUCAGUUGAUUUCUUCGCUUGAUUUGGUCAUUCCUGAUUCAUUUGGCUGCACUAAUAUAAUUUGAAAUAGUUGUAUUAUCUAAUCGUUAGUCAUUUUUUGCUAUUAAUUAUUGUCUGAUAGUGCAGCAAUACUAUGUUUAAAUUUGUUUAGUGCAAUAGGUUAUAGUUUCAGUUGCUCUAUGUUAAUUUUCUCAUAAAUCAAACUGAUUUUAGUCUGGUUUAUUUGAAUGCUUAGCUUGGUUACGAUUGAAGUCAUAUUUACUUUGUCAAUUCAAUUAGUGAGUUAAGUUCUAGUUUAAGUUUGAUUUAUGUUGAUCUAGUUUGGUGUUGAUAGUUUAAAGUUGGAUGGUAGAUGAGUUUAAUCAUGAAAUAUGACACUUUAGUAGCCUACUUCUUACUAGUAGGGUGGCUGAAAGGACCCCUUUCCUCCGUACUUCUGCCACAGUAGGUUUCAGGCUAUCAUUUCACCUUUUGGGAAGCCUUUGAACUGUGUUUAGCAUACAAAAUCGAUUUUUUUAGAUUGAUUUUUGGUGAAUCAAAAUUUGUCCAAAAAAUGACUUUCUUUGCCUACUUACGGGCUGCUCUUUCCUUACUUUAAGCUUACAAAACUAUCAUAUAUAGAAGACAUCUUUUACACACUAAAAACACAUAACUAAAUAGAGUAAAACAACAGCUAAAAUUUUAUAGUGAGAGCUGAAACUGGUGAGCUUCGGGUGAAUGUUUCUCAGAGUGUAUCACUUGUGAGAAAAUAAAGGAAUCCUUGGUGGUUGCCGGAGUAAGUAGCUACUGGUAUCAAAUACUUUCUUGCUAGAUUUUUCUGGGUUUUUUUCUCGGGUUAUAAGUUGUUGAUUUUGUUGCUGAAAUUCAAUUCCUCCCUUGAUGACAUUUUCUUUCUACUAUCCAGGUAAUUUUCUUAAAAUGCUACUAUAAUUUUGAGUCAAGAUUGAAUGGACACGAAGUAAUUUGAGUUUCUUUUCAAUUUAUUUUAAGCUUUAAAAGCACUUUGUUCUUGUAAGGUUUUGUGUGUGAGCAUAUAUGAUAAAUUUUGGACUUCUAUGUAUAUUCUAGUUGACAAAAUGUCUUAAACCUUCUGGUUCUUAGUUGCUUUGUUAUUAUGACUCACUAUCACCUUUGUUUCAUGAAACUGCUAGUAAAACAAAAAUGCAAGUGAUGCAUAUCCAGGUAUUUAAGUUGGUAGUGUUAAACUCUUUCAGAUAAAGUUCAUUCGUCACCCGUCUUGAUAAUUUAUUACAUGUUAAACAUCACGCUACACAAGCGAUUUCAUGAAGUUAAAACACGCCUAUUAUUUGCCUAGCUUUUAAAUUAAUUACUAAGGCGAAUAAGUUGUUAAAAUUUUGGAAAGAAAAACUAGCUUUUCAUUUAAAGAAAAGAACAUCUCUAAACUCGUUGGUAGGAAAAGCCACGUUAUUACAAAGAUAGAUAUGCUAAAAUAUUUGAAGUAAGAUUACUUUGAUUUUCAUAGUUCAAAACAAAGUGCUAGGCUUGUUCUAACUUUUAAAGUAUAGAGCCAGCCUAUGGGAAUUUGGACUACUAGUUCACUUUGAAUAUCACAUGGCCAUUAGGCCAAAUUAUUUUAUAUUGGGCUUUGCAUGGCAUUGGGAUAGCUUUUACUUAAAUAGGAAAAGUGGACCAAUAACUCACAAAAAGAAAUAGACCCGCAGCCUAUUGCUUUUUGGUCUAUCCAGCAAAGAAUGGCACAUACCUAUAACAAGAAAGUGCGCCGAAGACACUUUGAGGUAGGCCAACUCGUUUUAAAAUCAAUCUUUCCAUACCAGGUUAAAGCUAAAGGAAAGUUCGCCCCGAACUGGCAAGGACCCUAUAUCAUCAAGUAAGUGUUACCAAAAGGGGCCUUGCACUUGGAAGAUGAAGAUGGAUGGGUAUCAGACAUGACCAUUAACGCAAAUGCAGUCAAAAUAUAUUAUAUUUCAUAUAUACUCACUGUAGAACUUUCACGCAUGAUUUUCUUAGAUCGAGACGACGAAGGCUAUCAUUGCUCACUAUCCCAAAUAGGUAUCACCCUUUUGUUAACCCUUUUGAGUCAUAUUUGCAUUCUUUGUUUUUCCUCUUUUUGGAACUGUGUGCUUGUUAAAACAAAAAAGAAAAAAAAGAAAAAAAACAGCAAUCAAACAACAAAUCUUAUAAGUUAGUGAACUAUGUUCGACCUGAUUUUAAAAGUAUAUGUAGGCAGCCCUAACCUGGGUUCGGUCCCAUCACAACAAAAAUUCAUAUCCACAAUACUCCAAAAUUGGGGUAGGAAUUUGUUUUAUUUUUAUGGUAAUUCUUUAAAAAUGGUUCAUAAAGUUGUAAUUCAGUUCGAGCUUCUUUUCACCUUUUCCCGUUAAGACCUUCCAAUCGAUCUUUGAGAAUGUUGAAAUCACCAUGCCAAGAUGUCGGACCACUUGAUGCAUACAAUCAAGGGCGGCAGAAAAAAAGAAAAAAGAAAACUAGAGAGUCUUAAUGGUGAAAACCCAAAUGGGCACCAUAAGGCAAUAUUGAGUAGAGAAAUAAGUGUCUUAUUGGUGGAAAGCCAUAUGAGCAACAUAAGGUGAUGAUGAGUAGAGAAAUGAGAGAGCGAAAACCUGCAUAAGGCACUACUGGCCGAACGAAGGUCUUCAAUACUCAGGCAUGAGCACAACCAAGGACUCAGUUUCCAGAUGAACGUUUGCAAUAGAUUUUGAGAUUUAGACAGCUCAGACGGAUCAGGCAUCCAAUCCAAAAUACAUGUCAUGAUUCAUUGAAAUCAGCACAUACCUCCAGAUAAGUCUCCAUAUUCCUUUCCCCAAAAGGGACACCUUUUCCUUAAACAUAGUUCUUUUUCACUAUCAAUAAUUCAUCUAUUUUGCGCAUAAUUUUCUUUGAAUCCCUUUUAGUGUCUAAUCUUGCAUCAAAAGCAAAGCAAAGAAAUGGCUGUAAAACAGGCAAUAGCUUCCCUAUAAUAUCGAGCACAAUUUGGGGCAUAUACGACAUUGACAACGGCACAAAUCCAUCUUUGAUCUCUUUUGAUCAACCGAAUAAAGUGUUUCAAAGAAAUCAAAAAGGUCGCUAAGCAAGAACUUGCUUCAUGGGAAAAGUUGAUAGCACCACGACACAAAUAGGUAUUGGGUGCAAGAAAAUCAAGUUUGAUUUGUAAACAAAAAACAAACCGCCAAAGUAAAGACGUGCUUUCUAGACAAGGGUCCACAUCACUUUAAACAUCCGGGUACGAAACAGUCAGAGGCAACACCAGAAAGCCAAGGUCUCCAGAAAGUGAUAAAUUUCCAAGCAACUCGGUACCACACUGACAGAACCAGUCCUCUGACAGCGGGGUGGCCUGGAAUUAAAAGUACUUAGAGCAUUAAAGCCACAAACCGACCACCACUUUGAAAACUCAUAAUUUUUUCUUCGUUUGAAGUAGAAACAAAGCAGUGCAGAAUGGCAAUUCUUAAAGGAUGAAUAUAACCAAAAGUAAGUUCCUCAAAAUCUCCUUUUUUUUAGCAUGCAUCACUAUUGUUCAUACCUCCCAUUUUCGUAGCUUAACUAAGGUAGAACUUUUUCGCCUGGAAGGCUCCAAAUCAUAUUUUCGGAUAGAAGUACUCUUCACUCAUGCUGUUUAAUGUAACUUAACUCAGUUAGAACCUUUACGCCUAGGGAGAUAUAGCUCAUAUUUCUGGGUAGAUGUACUCUUCGCUCAACCCAUUUUCGUAGCUUAACUCACGUAGAACCUUUUCACCUAGGGAUAUCUAGCUCAUAUGUUCUGGUAGAAGUACUCUUCGCUCAGGCUCUUUUACGUAGCUUAACUCAGGUAAAACCUUUUCGCCUAGGGGGAUCCAAGUCAUAUUUAUGGGUAGAAGUACUCUUCGCUCAGGCUAUUUUACGUAGCUUAACUUAGGUAGAACCUUUUCGCCUAGGGGAUCCAACUCAUAUUUCCGGGUAGAAGUACUCUUCGCUUAGCCCAUUUUCAUAGCUUAACUCAGGUAGAACCUUUUCUUCUAGGGGGAUCCAGCUCAUAUUUUCGGGUAGGAGUACUCUUUGCUCAAGCUAUUUUACGUAGCUUAACUCAUGUAGAACCUUUUCUUCUAGGGGGAUCUAGCUCAUAUUUUCGGGUAAAAUACUCUUCACGUUUUACGUAGCUUAACUCAGGUAUAACCUUUUCACCUAGGGGGAAUCCAACUCAUAUUUCUGGGUAGAAGUACUCUUCUUUCAUAUCAUUUUUGUAGCUUAACUCAAGUAGAACCUUUUCUCCUAGGGGAUCCUGCUCAUAUUUCCGGGUAGAAGUAUUCUUCGCUCAGGCUGUUUUAUGUAGCUUAACUCAGGUAGAACCUUUUCGCUUAGGGGGGUCCAGCUCAUAUUUUCGGGUAGAAGUACUUUUCGCUCAGCCCAUUUUUGUAGCUUAACUCAAGUAAAACCUUUUCGCCUAGGGGAUCCAGCUCAUAUUUUCGAGUAGAGGUACUCUGCGCUCAGACUGUUUUACUUAGCUCAACUCAGGUAGAACCUUUUCGCCUACGGGGAUUAACUCAUAUUUUUAGGUAGAAGUACUCUUCGUUCAGGCUGUUUUACGCAGCUUAACUCUGGUAUAAUCUUUUUUCCUGGGGGGAUCCAGCUCAUAUUUCCGGAUAGAAGUACUCUUCGCUCAGAUCAUUUUCGUAGCUUAACUCAGGUAGAACCUUUUUGCCUAGUGGGAUCCAACUUAUAUUUUUUGGUUAGAAGUACUCUUCGCUCAGGCUGUUCUACAUACCGUAACUCAAGUAGAACCUUUUCCCCUAGGAAGAUCAAGCCUAUAUUUUUGGAUAGAAGUAUGCUUUCGCAGCCCAUUUUCGUAGCUUAACUCAGGCAGAACCUUUUCGCCUAGGGGGAUCCAACUCAUAUUUCCGGGUAGGAGUACUCUUUGCUAAGGCUGUUUUACGUAGCUUAACUCAGGUAAAACCUUUUUCGCCUAGAGGGAUUCAGCACUUUAUCAAUAAUACAGGGCGCCAACCCCUAGUUAUAUUUCUUUCAGUAAUACAGGGUACCAACUCCUGGUUAUAUUCCUUCCUAGUGAUAUAGGACGCCAACUCCUGGUUAUAUUUCAUAGUGAAAUAGGGUGGCAACUCCUGGUUACAUUCCUUUACAUUUCCUAUCGGUAAUAUAGGGCACCAUCCCCUGGUUACAUUCUAUCCCUUAAUACAAAGGUACUAAGCCAUGAUUACAUUUCUUUUCAGUAAUUCCAGGCACAAUCUUCAGGUUAUGUUCUCUCUCAUUAACUCAUGAUACUCCCCCUAGUUGCAUAUCCUCACAUAUCUAGUUUAUACAAAGACUGUUAAUUGGGUCGGGCUAGCCCUAUCAUAGCUCGAUUCGACUCGGUUUAGCCCGGGUCAACCCGGUACGCUAGGGGGUGGGACGAGUUGGGGAGGGUUUGGGGGAGCCAGGCGGGAAUGAACAUAUUUUGAUAACCGGUGCCUCGGAACCUGGUUAGCCUAGUUACCCUUUACCGGGCUACAAGUCGGUUUAGCCAGGUUACAAUUGUGUUAAUUUUUUUUUAAAAUUUAUGACCGUUGCCAACGGUCAAAUUCAAAAAUGACCAUUGGGCAACGGUCAUUUUUGCUAAAAUGGCCGUUCCGGCCUACCCUUUUAAGAAAAUAGCCCCCCUCCCCCACCCCUAAUAAUUGAUAAAUUACAAUUUUAACGUUUUAAAAACUAUAAAUAAACCCCCUUCUUCUUCAUUUUUUUCUCACAAUUUUCUCUCUUACUACUCUAAUUAUCUCUUGAUAAUAUUGUUUAUUUCCCUUUAAUUCUCAAUUACUUAUUAUUUCAAGUUUCAUCAAAUAUCUACUUUAGUCACUAAAAAAUUAUAAUUAUCAAAUAUUAGGUAUUCAAGUGAAGCGUGGUAUCAAUAUUCAAUCUCAUCAAAUAUCAAAUAUUACUCUAUCAACUGAAGUUUGAUAUCAAAUUUAGUGCGACAUCCGAAAUCCCGGUAUACUCGUUCAGUUUCAACAUCUGAGAAUGGUGCUUGGGAGGAUAAUGAUAAUGUUGAAGAUUAUUUGAUUUGGUCUACACUAGGAGAUCAUCAACAAACCAGUCGCAUCAGAGAGGACAUUUAGCCAAGCAAGGUAGAAACUAGGAGAUAUCGUCAUUCAUUGGGUAGCAACGCUUUGGAAAUUCUAGUGUGCUUUAGAAAUUGGACAAGAUCAGAACGAUGAAAUCAAGGGCGUGAAGAGGUAGAUGAAAUGGAGGACCAAGAAAUUAGAGAUAUAAUGGUUUAUGAUUCCGAUUAAAGCAAUGCCGAAAAUCAAGAACCUCAUGUUGACAUGGAUCAACUUACAAAAAUGAUGCAAAGCAUGUGAUGUACUUUUUUCUUCUUUUUAUAAUAGUUGUAAAAUUUUAAUUUGCAAGUUCAAAAAUAAAAAAAAAUCAAAAUAAGACUAGCAAAUUAAUUUGAAGUAUUAUUUAUUAUUCAAUAAAAAUAUAAAACGAAAGCCUUCAG
rnacentral:lncRNA from 1 species